rnacentral:sRNA from 1 species
AUGCAUCACUCGUGCCCUGCGGUUCCUCCGCGCUGUCCGCACCGGCUGGUCACCGCGCUAGGUUUUGUCUGCU